rnacentral:rRNA from 1 species
AGUGUCGUUAAUAGCGGCAUUUCUUGACGUUAGCGACAGAAGAAGCACCGGCUAACUCCGUGCCAGCAGCCGCGGUAAUACGGAGGGUGCGAGCGUUAAUCGGAAUUACUGGGCGUAAAGCGCAUGCAGGUGGUUUGUUAAGUCAGAUGUGAAAGACCCGGGGCGUCAACCUCGGAAUAGCAUUUGAAACUGGCAGACUAGAGUACUGUAGAGGGGGGCGAGAAUUUCAGGUGUAGCGGUGAAAUGCGUAGAGAUCUGAAGGAAUACCGGUGGCGAAGGCGGCCCCCUCGGACAGAUACUGACACUCAGAUGCGAAAGCGUGGGGAGCAAACAGGAUUAGAUACCCUGGUAG